GAUGAACGCUGGCGGCGUGCCUAAUACAUGCAAGUCGAGCGAAUGGAUUGAGAGCUUGCUCUUAUGAAGUUAGCGGCGGACGGGUGAGUAACACGUGGGUAACCUGCCCAUAAGACUGGGAUAACUCCGGGAAACCGGGGCUAAUACCGGAUAACAUUUUGAACCGCAUGGUUCGAACUUGAAAGGCGGCUUCGACUGUCACUUAUGGAUGGACCCGCGUCGCAUUAGCUAGUUGGUGAGGUAACGGCUCACCAAGGCAACGAUGCGUAGCCGACCUGAGAGGGUGAUCGGCCACACUGGGACUGAGACACGGCCCAGACUCCUACGGGAGGCAGCAGUAGGGAAUUUUCCGCAAUGGACGAAAGUCUGACGGAGCAACGCCGCGUGAGUGAUGAAGGCUUUCGGGUCGUAAAACUCUGUUGUUAGGGAAGAACAAGUGCUAGUUGAAUAAGCUGGCACCUUGACGGUACCUAACCAGAAAGCCACGGCUAACCACGUGCCAGCCGCCGCCGUAA
rnacentral:rRNA from 1 species